GCGAACGCUGGCGGCAUGGCUAAAGCAUGCAAGUCGCACGGUUAAAGCCCCUUCGGGGGCAUAUAAAGUGGCGAAAGGGCGAGGAAUACGUUCCUACGUACCCCGAGGCCGGGGAUAGGCCGGGGAAACCCGGAUUAAUACCCGAUGCGGCUCGUCGCAAGACGAGUCAAAGCCGCAAGGCGCCUUGGGAGCGGGGAACGUCCUAUCAGGUUGUUGGUGAGGUAAUGGCUCACCAAGCCGAAGACGGGUAGCGGGUGUGAGAGCACGGCCCGCCGCAUCGGGACUGAGACACUGCCCGGACUCCUACGGGAGGCUGCAGCAACGAAUCUUCCGCAAUGCGCGAAAGCGUGACGGAGCAAUGCCGCGUGCAGGAUGAAGCCCCUCGGGGUGUAAACUGCUGUCAGGGUUCAGCAACACAAUGAGCAGACCCAAAGGAAGGGCCGGCUAACUUCGU
rnacentral:rRNA from 1 species